UUUGUAGCUCUUUGAUGAUAAAGACACUGAUAGCAUUGUGAGAAGUGCAAAGACAUUAAUGAAUGAUGUCUAGAAAGAAGCCACAAAUUGUUUUCAAACUUAUUCAUUUUGAAAAACAAUGCAAUCAUAUGUUUAAUAAAUAAGACACUACAGAAAUAUACAAAAUGAGAUUUAUGAAAUUCUAUGUACUAUGACUCUAUUUUCUUAGUUUCUGCCAACACUUAAGAGUUUCUUUUGCAUUCCUCCAGAGAUUGUUCAUGGAUAUAAUAACAACUUAAAUAUAUAUUCCACAUUUUUAGAAUACUAUUACUCUUGCAUUGCUUCUCUUUUGUUAAUUAAAUUUACACCUUAGAUAUCAUUCUGAUACCGAAGGGGGGCAAGGAAGUGCUGGGAGGAGACGGGUGGGUCCCUCUCAAGGGCUCCACCCCCGGGCCUGUGCCCACAGACCUAGGUGAGGACAGGCACUCGGCACUCCUGCUUUUGCACCCAAAUGUUGCCUUUCCCAGGACCACCCUGGCCCGCCACGCCCCUAUCCUGUGCCUAUAAAAACCCCAAGACUCUAGCAGGCAGACACACACGCGGCUGGACGUCAAGACAAACACAUUGGCAGAGGAACACACAAGCACCUGGAUGUGGAGAGGGUGUCGAGAGCACGCUGACAGGUACCGGCAAGCCUGCAGGCCAUCGACCGACCGGCCGAACGACUUGGAGUUUGGUCAGGGCGGUUGGAGGAGAGCCGGGGCUGCUGAGCGGCAGGAAUCCAGGGGAAAACCUUUCCACUCCAUCCCUCAUCUGCUGAAAACUACCUCCACUCAAUAAAACCUUGCACUCAUUCUCUAAGCCCAGGUGUAAUCUGAUUCUUCCAAUACACCAAGGCAAGAACCCGGGAUACAGAAAGCCCUCUGUCCUUACGACAAAGAAGAGGAUCUAAUUGAGCUGGUUAACAUAAGCCGCUUAUAGGCAGCAAAACUAAAAGAGCACAGGGCGCACGCCCACUGGGGCUUCAGGAGCUGUAAACAUCUACCUCUAGAUGCUGCCGUGGGGUUGGAGGCCCAAGCUUGUCCAUCUGUAUGCUCCCCUAGAGGUUUGAAGAAGCGAGCCACUCUCCCUGUUGAACGCCCUGCAAAGAGACCAGGGGAACUUUUCCCGUUUCAAUUCCGUAUCAGUACAUUUUGAACUUCCUUAUUUUUUCAUAUAUUCUGUAAAAUUCCUUUGUAUAAAUGGAUACUUAAUGACUAUUUUUCAAAUAGCCAGAAAACUAGCUCAUUUUGCUAGAUAUCUAAUUGUGUUUAUAAAAUAACAAAUGCUUCAAUGUGUAGUAAUUUUCCUGUUGUAAUUCUCACAAGAGCAAGUAUAUCUGUAGAAUCAAGGCCUAGAAGAGAAACUCUGGAUCCAAAGAAUAAAUACACUAGUAAUUUUGGUAACAUUUACCAAAUAGUUUUCUUUUACUCUGCCACUGGAAGAGUUGUUGUGAAAGACAAACAUUAGAAUUAAAGAUGUUUGCAGCUGGGUGCAGUGGCUCUUACCUGUAAUCCCAGCACUUUGAGAAGCCGAGGCAAGCGAAUCACUUGAGGUCAGGAGUUUGAGACCAUCCCAGCCAACAUGGUGAAACCCUAUCUCUACUAAAAACACAAAAAAUUAGCCUGGCGUGGUGGUGUGCGCAUGUAAUCUCACCUACUCAGGGGGGAUGAGGCAGGAUAAUUGCUUGAACCCGAGAGGCGGAGGUUGCAGUGAGCCAAGAUGGCACAAUUUGCCCUAAACCUACAUGCAGAAGAAUGAAAUUAGACCCUCAUCUCACACCGUAUACAAAAAUCAACUCAAAAUGAGUGAAAAAGCUUAAAUGUAAGACCUGAAGCUGUAAAACUACUAGAAGAAAACAGGGGGAAAGCUCCAUGACAUGGAUCUGAGCAAUGAUUUUUUGGACAUGACUUCAAAAUCACAGGCAAACAAAAGCAAAAAUUAAAACGUAUGAUUAUGUUAAAUCAAAAAGCUUCUGCACAGCCAAGGGAAUAAUAAAGAAACAAUCUAUGGAAUGGGAGAAUAUAUUUGCAAACCAUACAUCUGAUAAGGGGUUAAUGUACAAAAUAUAUAAGGAACUCGAACAACUCAAUGUUAAGAAAACAAGAACCUAAUUAAAAAGUAGGCAAAGAACCUGAAUAGACAUUUCUCAAAAGAAGACAUACAAAUGGACAACAGGUACGUGAAAAAAUGCUCAACAUCACUAAUCAUGAGGGAAAGGCAAAUUAAAACCAUAAUGAAAAACUACCUCACACUUGUUAGAACAGCUGUUAUAAAAAAGACAGAAGAUAACAAGUGUUGGAGAGAAUAUGGAGAAAAGAGAAAUCUUGUACACUCUCUGUGGAAUGAAAAUUAGUACAGCCGUUUCAGAAAACAGUAUGGAGAUUACACAAAAAAUUAAAAAUAGAACUAUCAUAUGAUCUAGCAAUCCCACUAUUGGGUAUACAGUCAAAGGAAAUGAAAUCAGUAUACUGAAGAGAUAUCUGCAUUCUCAUGUUUAUUGCAGCGUUAUUCAAAACUCGUGCAGGAAUGUUCACAGCAGUUUUAUUUGGAAUAGCCAAAACUGAAAACAAUCAUAAUGUCUCUUAAUAGCAGAGGAAGAGGAGCGACUGAAGAAGAAAGAGGGUGGAGGUGAAGAUGUGGAGCUCAUAUUGAAUCUUUGGAAAAGUGAAAAUGGCUUUUAGUAUCCAGUAAGAAGAGUAAAUAGAAGAAUUUUAGCCACAAAUGGAAAAGAAAACGUCUCUUCCUCAGCUCAAAGAGACAAGCUCUUGUCAGUUCCUGUAAAAUUUAAUGCUGGUGGGCCUGGAAGCACAUUUCUCAGACACCCUAGCAAAUAGGAAUGACCAAGUAAUAUAAUUUUGCCAAUAAAAAUAUGCACAAUAUUUGGUGGAAAUUUCUCACAAAAUCUUGCUUUCCUCACAUAAAUGUUUCAUCUUCAUGCUUGUUGCUUUCUCUUUUUCCUUCCUAUUCAGAAAGGAGAUGGAUCAAUAAUUGUACAAGCAUGAAGACAAAUGCCAUAUCACAGCAAUGGUGAAAAGAAAGCCUAGAAGAAAUUUGUCUUCCCAACUUUUUUGGAACCCCUGAAUCAGAUUGACUGCCUCGAAAUAGACUUCUUUUUAAACACACAAAAAAAGUAAUCUCAUUUUUAACAGCCAUAAGAAUAUACCUUGUGGACCAUAAAUACUGUAAAAUUAUUUGACCAGGGCCCCUAGCUGUUCUAUUCCCAAGUGCUUUGUUGUGUUUUUGCUGUGGCUCAGUAUCCCAUGAACUGUUUCCAGCUAAUAACUGAGUGCAUAAGGGAUACUAAGACAGACAAAGUUUCUGGGAGACUAAGGACUCCUCCGACAGCUGAAUUUAGUGUCAGGCCUUCCUUGCUUAACUCAACUUACACUGCAAGGUGGCCUAGGUUGCUUCCAUCCAAACUUCUUCCCUCUAUCCUUGCACUGUGGUCUGAUGAUUCUCUCAGCUGACAUUUUCUCUGACAGGUAUUUCCCCUAAUAACACUUAAUUUUGUCUUGAUGUCUGGUUCUGGGAGGACCCAGCUUAGCACACUAUUUUUAUAAGACACUGCUAAUUUAUGCAGGACAAACUUUUUGCUGGGCAAAGACAAAAAAAU
rnacentral:lncRNA from 10 species